GACGUAGGGGGCAAGCGUUGUCCGGAAUUACUGGGCGUAAAGGGCGUGUAGGCGGUGCGGUACGUAGCGGUUUUAAGCCUCCGGCUCACCCGGAGGAGGGCGGCUAAAUGGCAGCACUAGAGGGCAGGAGAGGUGCGCGGAAUUCCUGGUGGAGCGGUGAAAUGCGUAGAGAUCAGGAAGAACACCGGUGGCGAAGGCGGCGCACUGGCCUGGCCCUGACGCUGAGGCGCGACAGCGUGGGGAGCAAACGGGAUUAGAUACCCCGGUAGUCCACGCCGUAAACGAUGGAUACUAGGUGUCGCGGGGGUCCACCUCGCGGUGCCGGAGCUAACGCACUAAGUAUCCCGCCUGGGGAGUACGGCCGCAAGGUUGAAACUCAAAGGAAUUGACGGGGGCCCGCACAAGCAGUGGAGCAUGUGGUUUAAUUCGACGCAACGCGCAGAACCUUACCAGGACUAGACGGGAUCGUGAGCGCCGCGAAAGCGGCGGGCCCUUCGGGGGCGAUCGUCAGGUGCUGCGUGGUUGUCGUCAGCUCGUGCCGUGAGAUGUUGGGUUAAGUCCCGCAACGAGCGCAACCCUUGUCGUGUGUUGCCAGCGGUCCGGCCGGGCACUCACACGAGACUGCCGGUGACAAACCGGAGGAAGGUGGGGAUGACGUCAAAUCCGCAUGGCCUUGAUGUCCUGGGCUACACACGUGCUACAAUGGUCCCGACAACGGGCCGCGACGGCGCGAGCCUGAGCGAAUCCUUCAACGGGACCUCAGUUCGGAUUGCAGGCUGCAACCCGCCUGCAUGAAGUCGGAAUUGCUAGUAAUCGCCCAUCAGCAUGGGGCGGUGAAUUCGUUCCCGGGCCUUGUACACACCGCCCGUCACACCACGAAAGUUGGCCACACCCGAAGCCGGGCGGUCCAACUGCCGCAAGGCAGAGGAUCCCGUCGACGGUGGGGCGGAUGAUUGGGAUG
rnacentral:rRNA from 1 species